rnacentral:rRNA from 1 species
GGAAUCAACGCUGGCGGCGUGCCUCAGACAUGCAAGUCGAACGCGAAAGUCCCCUUCGGGGGGCAAGUAGAGUGGCGCACGGGUGAGUAACACGUAGGUAAUCUACCUUUGGAUGGGGAAUAACAACCGGAAACGGUUGCUAAUACCGCAUAAUGCAGCGGCACCUAAUGGUGACAGUUGUUAAAGCGGGGGAUCGAAAGACCUCGCGUCUGAAGAGGAGCCUGCGGCGGAUUAGCUAGUUGGUAAGGUAAUGGCUUACCAAGGCUACGAUCC